AUAUUCCUGUACCACCUAUAAUCGUUUUAAUCGAUGGGGGGACGCAGUAGGAUAGGCGAAGCGUGCGAUUGGAUUGCACGUCUAAGCAGUAAGGCUGAGUAUUAGGCAAAUCCGGUACUCGUUAAGGCUGAGCUGUGAUGGGGAGAAGACAUUGUGUCUUCGAGUCGUUGAUUUCACACUGCCGAGAAAAGCCUCUAGAUAGAAAAUAGGUGCCCGUACCGCAAACCGACACAGGUAGUCAAGAUGAGAAUUCUAAGGUGAGCGAGCGAACUCUCGUUAAGGAACUCGGCAAAAUGACCCCGUAACUUCGGGAGAAGGGGUGCUCUUUAGGGUUAACGCCCAGAAGAGCCGCAGUGAAUAGGCCCAAGCGACUGUUUAUCAAAAACACAGGUCUCUGCUAAACCGUAAGGUGAUGUAUAGGGGCUGACGCCUGCCCGGUGCUGGAAGGUUAAGAGGAGUGGUUAGCUUCUGCGAAGCUACGAAUCGAAGCCCCAGUAAACGGCGGCCGUAACUAUAACGGUCCUAAGGUAGCGAAAUUCCUUGUCGGGUAAGUUCCGACCCGCACGAAAGGCGUAACGAUUUGGGCACUGUCUCAACGAGAGACUCGGUGAAAUCAUAGUACCUGUGAAGAUGCAGGUUACCCGCGACAGGACGGAAAGACCCCGUGGAGCUUUACUGUAGCCUGAUAUUGAAAUUCGGCACAGCUUGUACAGGAUAGGUAGGAGCCUUUGAAACGUGAGCGCUAGCUUACGUGGAGGCGCUGGUGGGAUACUACCCUAGCUGUGUUGGCUUUCUAACCCGCACCACUUAUCGUGGUGGGAGACAGUGUCAGGCGGGCAGUUUGACUGGGGCGGUCGCCUCCUAAAAGGUAACGGAGGCGCUCAAAGGUUCCCUCAGAAUGGUUGGAAAUCAUUCAUAGAGUGUAAA
rnacentral:rRNA from 1 species